rnacentral:misc_RNA from 1 species
ACACCUUCGAGCCCUGCUCGGUGUUGGGUGUCUGUCUGUCCUGCAGACUCACCUCAAAUCCAUUGGCGGUGGCCCGCCUAGCUUCCUGUGCAGCGCAUGCAACUUGCGAGCUAUCGCGGGCCCACAUCCACCAAGAUCAUCGCG